rfam:Felis catus isolate Cinnamon breed Abyssinian chromosome A1, whole genome shotgun sequence.
GCCUGGGUGGCUUGGUCGGUUAAGCAUCUGACUUUGGCUUAGGUCACAAUCUCACAGUUUGUGGGUUUGAGCCCCGCGCCGGGCU